UCCGGCUGCCAGCUCUCUGCAACUCUUACAUGGUUUCCCACUGAAGCUAAGCAGGGCUGCACUUGGUCAGUAGCUGAAUGGGAGACCACAUGGGAAAGCUAAGUUGCUGCCGGAA
rnacentral:rRNA from 1 species